AUGUCCGGCCCUGACCUACGAGGCCGGUGGAUGCCCUCCUCCAUCAUGGAAGAGCAUGUGCUAAAGCUGAGAGACGCCAGGUACUUAACGUACGAGAUUUCGCGUAGGCUGCCUGCCCGAGGGCAAGUUAUUCCGACUCCCGAACUUGGUGAGAGCGUCGUGUUUGUGUCUCACCUCCGUCGGGGUUUAGGCUUCCCGACGGAUCCCUUCGUGAGGGGGCUCAUGUUUUACUAUGGGCUGGAAUUCCAUGACUUGGCUCCGGAGUCCAUCGUCCACAUCUCAUCAUUCAUUGUCGUCUGCGAAGCCUUCCUCCGCACUACCCCUCACUUCGGCUUGUGGCUCAAAACCUUCAACUUGCAGCCUAAGAUGAUUGAGGGGCGUCAGGCAGAGUGCGGCGGGGCAGUUAUAAGCAAGAGGGCCAAUGCUCCAUGGCCCGAGGGCUCUUUUCAGGAGGAGCUCGGCUUGUGGCAACAGGAGUGGUUCUAUAUCACCGUUCCCAGGGGCAGCAGGCAGAGGCCGCCGCCCGUCUUCUGCCCGAGCCCUCCACAACAGCUGACGUCAUGGGUCAACAAGGGGCGUGACUGGGGGCCGUCCAAAGACGUACCCCUGUUGCAGGACCGGAUUCAAGGCCUCCAAGAAAGGGAGAUCAAUCUGGUCGCAAUGGUACAAGUUAUGUUGAUCCGGCGCCUACUGCCCUGCAAACGUCGCCCCCUCCGCCUGUGGGAAUUUAAUCCGGAGGGACCACGAGCUCUUCAACACUUCAUGGGUUUGACACCCGUGGAGAUGUAUAAACUGUUCUUCGGAUCGCAAGAGAUGCAUCCGGAAUUGACCGAGGAUGCUGGCCUAAGCUGCAAUCGCCCGGAUACCCAAGUAAGUAGACCCGUGUUCGGACACAUCGUCCAUUUAUUUAUCGUGGGUUUGCCUUUUAACCAGCUAUCCCUUGGACAGGAGUGGAUAGCGUAA
rnacentral:rRNA from 1 species